UACGGAGGGGGCUAGCGUUGUUCGGAAUUACUGGGCGUAAAGCGCACGUAGGCGGCUUUGUAAGUUAGAGGUGAAAGCCCGGGGCUCAACCCCGGAAUUGCCUUUAAGACUGCAUCGCUAGAAUCCGGGAGAGGUGAGUGGAAUUCCGAGUGUAGAGGUGAAAUUCGUAGAUAUUCGGAAGAACACCGGUGGCGAAGGCGGGAUCCUGGGCCAGUACUGACGCUGAGGAGCGAAAGCGUGGGGAGCAAACAGG
rnacentral:rRNA from 1 species